rnacentral:rRNA from 1 species
GCUCAGAGUAUAAGCCAAUGGAGCUUGGAAGGCUUCCGCAGCCGGGUUCAUCAUACGUGGUGUCCUUAAGACCUUGAGUAAAGCUCGUCAGGCGUCAGAUUUGAGUUUGCCAGAGUUUAGCUGUCGUGCGGGGGCUUAGCGAGGGGGGACUUUGCUUCGGCUUAGCUAUCUCCCGAGCGGCCCUUUGGAAUGGACGUUCAGAGGCUCUUGGUCUAAUGCGGUUAUGCCCACCACAGCACGUUGUGAGGUCACCCACAGGCUCAAACUGCCGAUCGCGCAUCCAGGACGAUGGCAACGAUGCGUUGUUGAUGAUGGCUCGAAAGAGACUUGACUCAGACGCGUGUCUAGUCCUGGGUCGGGCGGCGACCGAGAUAAACCUGGUAUGAUCCUCUUGCGACGAGCUGCUUUCUGGCCAGACCGACGUCCGGGCGCUUCCACUGUGCCGGAAGUGUCUAUCCCAGGCGGUCUUGACCCAGCUGCAUUAUGCAAGGUCUCUCAGCCGGGCGUUGGUCUGAGUGGUGUUAAGUCCAGCACCAUUGGUCACGUCUCGAAACACGGGCCAAGGAGUAUAGCAUGUGUGCAAGUCUAAGGGUCUCACAAAACCCGAAGGCGAAGUGAAAGCAAGACUGUGGCGGGUGAGCUACGGCAAACCCGCCGGCCUGGUGGCGCGUGCGUCGCCGGCUUAAACAGAGCUGAUCCUGUUUUCUCGGUUAAUUCUUGGUGCAGGCGCAAGCUCCGGGCUCACGUACAACACUGGUCACGCCUCGUG